AGGGAUGGAGAAGCCCUGCCCACUCCACCUUCCCCCCACGGCAGACCCUGCUUCAGCACCUGCUUCAGCACCUGAGGUCGUCCCCAUCCGUUCACUGAGCCCCAACUCAACAGCCCAGGCCAGAGGGGACCAAAGAGUAAAGUCGGUGGGAAGAGGAAAGAGAAGACAUAGCUACACCCACCACCCCCAAUACUGGGCCACGAUGUUCUGCCCCCAACCCCUCUGCUUCACAGGACGCUUCCCCUUUCCACACUCUCAUUCCGGAG
rnacentral:lncRNA from 10 species